AAUGAACACCCUAUAAAAUCAUUGCCUUCGAUAAUAUACAUUAUAGGAUUGGGAGACAUCGGGAAUACUGUUGGUGAAUGCUGUCCUAUUAGGUGCUCUUCUGAGACAAAUGUAACACAAUGUUUCUUAUGCAUUUUUUUCUAGAAGCCAUGAUCGAUCUCAAAAGCUUCUCUUAAUGCUAAGAGCUUGAAAAUGAAGAUAAUGGACCGUUCCAUAGCGUAGGUUUGCACCCAUAAAUAUAGCAACGAUUUACAAGAGUCGCUCAUGUCAACCUAUAUAUGCUUUUGCCUGUAUGUUCUGAAAUUUACCUUUCAUCUUAUGCUGAUAAUGAAGUACUUGCUAACCUAAACAAGUACAUCGUAAUAGGCAUGCCUCAAUUAUCCAACUUUCUUAUUCGGGCAGAUAUACCAAAUGCUUAAAACCAGUGCAUUUAAAAUUCUCUUAAUUCUGUAUUGACUGAUCUUGGUCUCUUUGUGUUAGUGUUUCACCUCGUCAGAUAAAGUAUCAUAUUGGCAUAAUAUGCAUCAAGACAAAUAUAUUCAGUUGACCAUGAAGAGAAAGCUAUGUGUGUAACCCUUGGUGCAUAGGUAGACUGGCAUGAUGUGGUUAUAUAUGCUUCAUGCUGUGUUACAAGUACUGGGAUGGGAGGCAGACAAUCAUAUAUUGUUAUUUGUUGCAACUCAGCCAGUACUUGUGAAAGUAUUUUGGAGCAGAGAAAUCCAAAU
rnacentral:lncRNA from 1 species